GUCGAACGACUCGGACUAUGGCGAGAAGUGGCAAACUGCUCAGUAACACGUAGCUAACCUACCCUCAGGACGGAGACAACCCCGGGAAACUGGGGUUAAUCCCCGAUAGGCGUGGAUUCCUGGAAUGGUGUCACGCCGAAACGUUAACACACCAUGUUUGUGUACACGCCUGAGGAUGGGGCUGCGGCCGAUCAGGCAGUUGGUGAGGUAAUGGCUCACCAAACCUUUGACCGGUACGGGCCGUGAGAGCGGUAGCCCGGAGAUGGACACUGAGACAAGGGUCCAGGACCUACGGGUCGCAGCCGGUACGAAACCUCCACAAUGCACGCAAGUGCGAUGGGGUUACCUCGAGUGCCGUCUGAAGAAGGCGGCUUUUCCAUUGUGUAAUGAGCCGUGGGAAUAAGGGGGGGGCAAGACUGGUGUCAGCCGCCGCGGUAACACCAGCCCCCCGAGUGGUGGGGAUGUUUAUUUGGCCUAAAACGUCCGUAGCCAGCUAGGUAAACCUCUCGUUAAAUCCAGCGUCCUAAGCGUUGGGCUGCGAGAGAGACUGCCAAGCUAGAGGGUGGGAGAGGUCAGCGGUAUUUCUGGGGUAGGGGCGAAAUCCAUUGAUCCCAGGAGGACCACCAGUGGCGAAGGCUGCUGACUAGAACACGCCUGACGGUGAGGGACGAAAGCUGGGGGAGCGAACCGGAUUAGAUACCCGGGUAGUCCCAGCUGUAAACGAUGCGGGCUAGGUGUUGGGGCAGCCACGAGCUGCUCCAGUGCCGCAGAGAAGUUGUUAAGCCCGCCGCCUGGGGAGUACGGCCGCAAGGCUGAAACUUAAAGGAAUUGGCGGGGGAGCA
rnacentral:rRNA from 1 species